rnacentral:lncRNA from 1 species
UCCAGAGCCGAAACCUGAGCCCAUGCCUCACCCUGAACCGAAACCUGAGCCAAAGCCCGAACCUAAGCCUGAGCCAAAACCCAUGCCCGAGCCAAAACCUGAACCAAAACCCAUGCCCGAGCCUAAGCCGGAACCUAAGCCUGAGCCAAAACCUGAACCAAAACCUAAGCCCGAGCCAAAACCUGAACCAAAACCUAAGCCUGAGCCAAAACCCAUGCCCGAGCCGAAACCUGAACCAAAACCCAUGCCCGAGCCUAAGCCUGAGCCAACACCCGUGCCCGAGCCAAAGCCGGAACCUAAGCCCGAGCCGAAACCCAUGCCCGAGCCAAAACCCAAGCCCGAGCCCAAGCCGGAACCCAAGCCCGAGCCGGAACCCAAGCCCGAGCCGGAACCCAAGCCCGAGCCAAAGCCGGAACCUAAGCCCGAGCCAAAGCCGGAACCUAAGCCCGAGCCGAAACCCAAGCCUGAGCCAAAGCCCGAACCGAAGCCAAAGCCCGAGCCAAAGCCGAAGCCGGAACCUAAACCCGAGCCCAAGCCUGAACCAGAGCCGAAGCCGUAUCCUAAGCCGGAACCAAAACCCAAGCCAGAACCUAAGCCCGAACCCAAGCCCAAACCCGAGCCCAAGCCUGAGCCCAAGCCGAAGCCAGACCCGCCGCACAUCCCUCCCGCAGCUGACAACUGACGAAGUGGCCGCUAGCUGUUUUGUAUGACGUUGCAGAGUAUGGUAGUAUCUGAAUAAAACCGGCUGGACCGGGAGUUGCAUCAUCUAGAUUGGUGCUCGCUGCUGCUUGUUGUACCUAUUCUUUCUUUCCAUUGUAUUGAGCUGAGUACAUUACUAGUGCAGCUUCAUUUGUUCUUUGUACAUGCAUUAUUAUCCACGUGACUCGUUGCUACACAUUUUUGGUGUCAUGCUUGAUCUCUCGCCAUCUUUGCACGUAGGCCUGACGGCUCUUUUUCUAUCGCAUGCUCCCUCCGUCCCAAAUUACAAUUUAUUUUGACUUUUCUAGAUAUAUACUAACGGAGGGAGUAUGUUUCUACGUGUUUAUGGCAUCUGAACGACAGAACACAGACAUGUGCAGUAUAAGGAUUAUGACUAAACUCAAAUUUUUGUUCUACUUUAUAGUAAAAGAAAAAAAGCAAAAGUGGUGAUAGCAAGAAUAAUGAAAGAAACACGUGAUCGAGUCGAAAAGAACUUGGACCGAUUACAGCCCUAACUUUUCUAUCUCUCGACAGUCUAUAAAGUCAGACAGUCAGUCCAUCGAUUUGAUCUUUCAGCAUCAAAACAUGACCCACACCGGUCGCUUCCCCUCUCACGUUUUUUUUCUUCGAGCUGAUGUCAACAUUGGACAUAAAUGCAUGAUGGGCUUCCAAGAUCGAUGGUGGACCAACAUACUUCAUUUUUCUUCCAUCCUUCAGUUUCUCAACUAAUGCGAAUGCGACAGGCGAUUACAACUUGGAUAUAGACCAGUCGUCGUACAGAUACAUAAGGAUGCCGAUCAGUCUUGUGCCAUAAGAAACUUAACUUUGCUCUGCCUCCUCCUCCUCCUCCUUUCUUUCAGGUAGUGCAGGACUACAACUUGUUAAUGUUGUAUUGUUGUUGCCUCUCACGGUGGUUUCAUGAGGCCCUGAUGUGUUGAGGAUAAAUAAAAAUGCUGUCAAAUUUGGUGGUGAGAAAUUGAGAAUUGUAUAUUAUGUGUGGUUGUGUAAUUUAAAUUAGGUAAUAAUCUCUAAGACCAUUUGUAUAGUAUCAGGUUCCAAUCGCUGCCACUAAUUAGAGAAACAAAAACUUGAUUUGAAUCGUGAGGUUGAGGAUGGAGCAAGCAGCUAGCUGCCUGCCCAGGCAAGCUAGUAUUCCCAUUGGUUGCAGGUUUUUAUCAAGAUUCGAUAGUGAUGAACCAAAUGAAUGAAUGGUCCACCAAUACAGUACGUGUUGUCCUGCCCUGUCCUCGCAUGAAUGAAUGUGCAAGAUUCUCGCACUUCAUUCUAUCCCGAGUGUUGCCCUGCUGCUAUGCAAUAUUACCGUGCCAAAUAUACUAUUUUGGGGCGUUUGGAUACUUAGGUGCUAAACUUUAGCAGUAUCACAUCGGAUGUUCAGAUACUAAUUAAGAGGAUUAAACAUGAACUAAUUAUAAAAUUGCAGAACCUGUGAUAAUUCGUGAGACGAAUCUAUUAAACCUAAUUAAUCCAUCAUUAGCAAAUGGUUAAUGUAGCACCACAUUGUCAAAUCAUGAACUAAUUAGGCUUAAUAGAUUCAUCUCACGAAUUAGACUCCAUCUGUGUAAUUAGUUUUGUAAUUAGCCUAUAUUUAAUACUCCUAAUUAGCAUCCAAACAUCCGAUGUGAUAGGUGCUAAACUUUAGCGGGUGUAAACACCUCCUUUGUUGCAAAAGGACUUACUGCCACGAAAUAUAUUCCGUUGCAGCAAGACUUGUUGCCACGGAACCAAAGUAAUAGUCAUUAUAUUGUCACGGCAUCAGUCAUCGUAAUUGUUUUCUAAUACAAUGCUAAUUGGGUGGCAAUUAGAAUAAAUGUUGCAACAACAUGAAAUAUGCGGCAUAAACUUUGAAGCGUGCUACUAUUUGCCACUCCUGCCAAAGAUUUUGAUAUCGUUGCAGUUAGUAUAUAUUGCCGUGUUUGACCCUACUGUGAUGAUUUUUUUUUAUCAACGCAAAAUCAUGAUUUACGUCUAUUGUGUUGGUGGGUUACUUCUCUAUCUUCUAAUACGAAUGCAUAUACAUGAUCUUUCUAUUGGGCCUCCGGCCUCUAUUAAUUUUCUAUUAUGUGGGCUGAUACAGCUCAUACGCCUUCAGGCCAAAUCAGAUAGCCAACUAGGCCUUUUAGCCCACUUAGCCCAUACGCACACUAAUAACUGGCCCAUUAGGUCCCUUUCCCGUGGGCUGUGGCCUGUGAUAUCAGUCAGAUUUACACUUGCUACAGUUCCAAGUUCAUAUACCUUCCUUUUUUUAAGGCCAUAUACACAACUUUAGAGAUCUUGAGACCUGCCACAAAUGCAAACAUAUACCACCAGACAUGCAAAGGUAAAAGCAGCUAUCCAUUUCUCAUCAAUAAGAGUGAAAGGGAUCUGUACCCAACAAAAAUUGACUUUUGUCUUGGUUCAUGUACACAACCUUUGAUGCUUUUUGUUGAAGACAACGUUACCAUUAAUUAUUUUAACCAUCAUGCCUCCAGCUUUCAUUAAGAAUGUUAAUCUACUUACAAACAGCACGGAAGGAUGGUGUUCGUCUCCAAAUUAUCUUGAAAAGUUGCUGAGCUAAUUUGACGGUGCACGUGCCUAAUUGACUCCGACAGGCCAAAACAUAUAUAUAGAGGGAGAGAUCGAGUUGGGUAGAUUUCAAAAGUAACUUUUCGUGGAGGAACAGAAUAAACCGCACCGAAUCUUGUGCAUAGGCUGUCCAGAUUAUAUUCAGUGAACCGUCUCCUAAUUAUCUUAAAAAGGUGGCUAAGCUAAUUUGACGGUGUACGUGGUUAAUUGGCUCCGACAGGCAAACAUUAUAUAUAGAAUUGGAUAGAUUUCAAAAAUAAAUUUUGAAGGGGGAACAGAAUAAACUGCACUGAAUCUUGUGCAGUAUGCUGUCCAGAUUAUAUAUAAGUCAUACAAUCUUACUCCACUGCUGAUGAUGCAUUCUGUUUCUAUCAACCACGCAAUGCUUAAUAAGUGUCUGCUUUAGUUUGACAGCAACUUUAAUGUUUUUCUCAUUCAUCCAUCAGUGGUUAUUGGAAAAGUAAGGAAGAUGAGGAAGCUCCAAUUAAAAGCCAGCACUCGGGAAAAAAAAUAACUCACAUGUUCUAUAGUAACUAAACAAAAAUAAAGUUCGAUUACUUAAUUUAUGAUUUUUUUUGUUUCACUUUUCCGUGUUCGAUUACUUAAUUUGUUAUGGAAGACAGCUUUGGUCUGCUUUGUAAUUUCUUUUCUUCCAGCCCAUAUCCCUGUCUCUUUCUCUGGUACUAACAUGAAGUGUAGGUGUAUAAUAUUCUCACUCACUUCGAAUUAUUAGCACACUUGCUACCAGUUCCAUGUAAUGAAGGAAUGUUGUCUUAGAGAUUAAAAGAAUAAAUUGCCACUUUCGUAUAGAGAGACAUAUGGCCCUCUGUUGAAAAUUAUACUAGAAUUCUUUGCAAACCAAAAACGUAUAUAUGCUGCUAUACGAUAAUGGCACUGAUCUAAACAGGAAAAAAUUAGGUAUUGUUUGUUGCUAACAAAAGCUCUAGGUAUAGUAUUACUAGUAUAUAUGCGUAGCUCCCAGUGUCCACCUUUGCUGAGAAUUUCUUCAACAUUCGGUCUCGUUUAUCAAUCAAAAAGCUAUUCAUUAAGGGCCAUGUUACCUUGAUCUAUGCAUGCAUAUGAUUUUUGGGUAACAGAAUUUAAAACUCAUAACAAAUUUUGGUAUAUGUUCAAUCUUCUUUUUUAUUAUCAUAUAUGGACCCCCAAUAAUUGAGACCCUUUAAUUUCUUUACAAGACAUAAGAAAUUAAACACUUAAAUUUAAGAAGCCCCAUAUCUGUGUGUAUUACUGAAUGGUCAAUGCAUCAAUCUGAUUGAGGAUGCCAUGCGAUUUAAGUAAUACUAGUUGUCCGAUGGGAAUAUAUGCAAAAUGCUAGGAUAGCUUUAGACGUCAUGAUACAAAGUAUCUAACAUUUGCUUAUGUUUUCCUUGCAUGUCAAAGGUUCAUUGGGUGCAUCAUUUUACUCUCAUGCCGACAACUCAAUAUAUUCUUAGUUGUCUGAAGAGUGCACUCAUACUCUCAUCCUAAAAUAUGGCUGGCAUAUUCUUUACGUAGGUGAUGCGCACUUAACCAGAAGAUGCAACUACAAAGAAAAUCAUGCAACUGGCUACGAUUGCUACGAAAGAGAAGAUUUGAUGCUGUGGUCAAUAAUUGACUUCCAUGACAAAUUAGGAAAGGCAAUGAUGAUGCCCUCCAUAUUUAGCUUAAUAACGGCCUCUUUAAUGGUAGAGGAUAGGUCCUUUUAUCCAAUAAAUUUUGAAAUGUCAUAACAUAAAUUUCACUAAGCUAUUUUAUAAGGAGAAGCACGCAGUAGCCAUCAGAACAGUUCAUUACUAAAAUCAAACUGUUUGUUUCCCUUUUUCCAACUGGGAGCAGAACCAAAUAGGCCUAGGUGGCGAGCGCCAUGCUUGCCACCAAGCGAACGUGCCUAAAUUUUGUAUAUAGUUACUAUGUACUCUAAUAGAAUUAUUGUCUUUUAAAAUUUGCCUUGAUCUGGUGGCCGCCUGGCUAACAUCUUGUUACAAGGCACCGAUGCUCCACAUCAUCGAUAUGGCUUCUCGAAGGCACAAAGGAACGCACGUGUCUCAAUUCCAAGGGCAAAUCAACUUUGCUCUAAAAGUUGUAUCUAUCUCAAUGCUUGCAUAUCCCGGUAGUUUCAUGCAAUGUGGGCUAAACUUCUGCGUUCACACAUCUCAAAAAUUUUCCGUCCUCUAGUGCCUUUCACUUUGUCUCUGGAAUGAAAGAAGAAUGUGAGCUCUAAACCUUUAAAACGGAACUUAACAACGUAACUUAAGAAUAUACUGAGACGCUAGAUAUGUGCCUGACAUUGAUGAUUUUAAUCUCAUUAAUGUUGAUAGUUUGGUACGAUAAGCAUGGAUUCUUAAGCGUCAAAUAAAAAAAAUAACUGGAGUACAAAUAACACGACACAAUUUGAACUCAUAGUAACAUUUUUCUGCAUAUAUUUACUCUCUAGCUAUACACAAGAGAAUAGUUUGACUGCAAAUGUUGUAUCUAGUGUUUUACGUAUCAUAUUGACUGCAAAAUAAAUCCUCAGAAAAUCUGAGAUUAACAAAUUAAUCACACCAGAAAACAUGUGGUGAAAAUUAAACUAUAUGGUCAAAGUUGGUAAACAAACAAAUAAAGUCUUAUAAACCUUAGAGCUUAAUUAUAUGAUAUUAUAUUUGGCCCUGAAGAAUAUUUGGGCAGAAAAAAGCGUGCGUGCACAAAAUCAUAUAAGCUGUGUAAAAAUAUGCCAUUUUCUCGACAUCCACUCAUGUGCAGAAUCCAAUACCACAACCCAUCACUGGGGAGCAAAAUUAAGAAACUCGUAUACGUAUGCCGGAACAUGAAGGAAACUGUAGUCACAUCUGUCUCCUGAUGUCACAAAAGUCAAGAGGAAAAAGAAAAAAGGAGUGUGAGAAAGCUUCCCAGCCUACACACAUAUAGGUGCCGGGGACCUGAGGUGGGGUUUUGUUGGGGCUCAAAACUAAGCUCAUUAUCUAGGGUCAACAGCUUUCAAAAGCUACAUCUCCUUCCUUAAUUUUCUCCGACCCAAGUAUUGGGCAUUGCAUCCGUCCAUCCGGUCCAGAUCUCGAGAAUAAAUGGCACGUAGCCUCAAGAUCUUCUUGCUAGCUUGUUCAUUGGUAAAUACUAGAUUUUAACUCCAAAUUAAAACGGCAUGUCCAGCCACUACAUAUCUACGCAGCCCUAAUGGAUUGAGAUGGACCUUUACAAAAGAAAAGGUAGAUUCCAAGGACCCCUGGAUUAAGGAUUAUGAUUAGGAAUCGUAUCAUCCACUCUACGUCCAACGUUGUGGCGAUACCGUGGCCGUCCGAUCGGAAAUGAAUGAUCCAAGAUACACACCAGGAGCACUAGUGUAAGAAAUAUAUUCUUGCAAGAUAGCGUGAGGUGAUCCACCACGUAUCCUUAAUUUCAUGGUACUCAUCGUCUAGAUCAGUAUCUUGCAAAUUCUUGUUGCAAUGACUGCUGAGGAAUAUUUGACCAAAUUAAAGCUCAUCAACCAUAUCUCUUUUAUUUGCACUGUGUGAGUAUACGAGCAUCUCAUUUCAGAACUCUUCCCACGGAUGCCUAUAAGUAGGCAACAGUCGUACUCCCCAUACCACGCCACACCAAGCCCCAUUUCAGCUUAGCAAGCUUUGUGUACCAGUGUCUUGGUCUUUCUGCAACAAGCUAAGUGACCAGACCACAAGCUAUAUAGGGCCGAGCGGCGAUGAGCAUGUCGAGGGACCCGCUCGUGGUCGGCAACGUCGUCGGCGACAUCGUGGACUACUUCCCUGCGUCGGCGCUGCUCCGGGUGUCCUACGGCGGCCGCGAGAUGACCUGCGGGUCGGAGCUGAGGCCGUCGCAGGUGGCGACCGAGCCGGCGGUGAGCAUCACCGGCGGAGGCCACGACGGCAGGGCACUCUACACGCUCGUGAUGGUGGACCCUGACUCGCCUAGCCCAAGCAACCCCUCCAAACGGGAGUACCUCCAUUGGUACAUACGUCUAACGACUAAGCUCUCGCUAGAUACAUUUUUUUGCAUGCUAAAUUGCUAAUGCAUAUUAGAGUUGCUUGGGGUUGGGUUCUUUGUUGAUUUUGCUGUUUUUUCAUUUGUUGUAUUAUUGUCUAAUCUGAGUUCACAUCUUUUUUUAAUAUAAUCAACAGCUCUUUUACCCGAUUUGUUUAAAAAAAUGCUAAUGCAUGAUUUUCUUAACGAUGAUGUCUUGCAUCUAUAGGUUGGUGACUGACAUACCAGAAGGAGCUGGUGCCAAUCAUGGUACGUGAGCUUAUGUACAUAGCUCAGAGCUGUAUUUUGAAUUUGAAUUUUAUGCACGAACCAGUUCACUCAAAAAACUUAUGACAUUCAUUAAGAAUGAUGGUUGAGGCCGGAUUUUUCCUUGAUCUAAAAAAACUCAAAAAAAACGUAUAACGCUCCAUCGAGGUAUUGACAAUAAUUGUGCAUCGGCAAGGAAACGAGGUGGUGGCGUACGAGAGCCCGCGGCCAACGGCGGGGAUCCACCGGUUCGUGUUCAUCGUGUUCCGGCAGGUGGUGCGGCAGGCGAUCUACGCGCCAGGGUGGCGCGCCAACUUCAACACCAGGGACUUCGCCGCCUGCUACAGCCUCGGCGCCCCCGUCGCCGGCGCCUACUUCAACUGCCAGAGGGAGGGCGGCUGCGGUGGCCGGAGGUACAGGUGAAGCGAUCAAGAAAUAAGCCAUCGGGAGCUAGCCGGUGGUGAUUAUCAAAGGAAAACGGAUAUAUAUAGCGAUGGAGAAAAAAAUUAUGGGACACACAAUAAUGCAUGGAGUGUAUAGGCUCCUAUGCUCCUUAUUGUUUCUAAUCCAUCUACGAUGUGCAUGAUUGAUGAGGCUGUUAAUAAGCAGUACUCUAAUCUAUCCAUUUGAUAGCACUUUUCUGUUAUCGUUGAAGUGUCUUCGUUUCAAAUUAUUUGUGCACAAGGAAACAGGAAUGUGUUCGUUACACUUUUGCACUCUCUGCCCAAAGUUUAAUAUUCUCAAACGAAAAGGUUAAGGAUUUGCAGUAUCGGAUUGUAUCACCUCAGUCAGGAAAAUCUGAUCUGGAUAUUGACCGGAAUUCGCAGACUAGUAACAGCUCAAAAACACCAAACGUAAUGCAUGAAAAAUUGGUGCUCUUGUAAAAAAAAUACUUGGGCUUUUUAUCAUAUGAUCAAAAUAUGGUUAAGCGAAAUUCCCGGACUUGCUAGUAACAGCUCUAAAAAACUAUUCAAAUGCAAUAUGAAGAAAUGGAACUCCUACAGAAAAAUUGGACGUGUACCAAAUUAACUAAAAUUUGAAAUAGGCCGGUAUAUAAUAUAUACACACACACACUUGAAAAGGAGAUGGAAGAUAGAUGAAAUUUCAAGUACUUUAUACAAAAUAAGUUCGAAUGUGAUCCAAAAACUGCAAGCUUGGACAGGCCCACACGGUCUAUCUAUCUGUCCAAGUAUCCAUCUUCGAUCGCGUGGUACGCCAACACAUGCAGCGCCGCAAAGGCAACGAGCACGCGUGUAGAAUAGCACCGCUAGUUCAAUAAUUUGUUGUUAAUUUCCGAGCUUAAGAUUAAGCUGUUGUCUGAAUAUAGGAGUAGGAUGCAUCGACACAAGGCAACGAGAUGUACUACUUUUUCUUAAUAGAAAUACUAAGUACUGUACUAAGCUAUCAACAGAAGUACCCACUAGCUAAAGCUCUCAAGACCACUUAGCGGCAGUUUAGCUGUUCUUGGGACCAAAUUAAUUUGAUUAUGAGACCACAUAUGAAUAUCAAUUCCUACUAUCUUCUUUUAUCUGUCACGUAUUAAUAAUGCACCAUCGUUCUGUCAUAGUCCAUUGUGACAUUGUCAGACAAUUCCUGAAAAAUGAGCGUAUGAUAAAAAAUUCCUAACUAAAUCCACAAUUAAGGCAUAACAUAUCUUCUCUCUACUGACACACGUCUUGGUGGAUCAAACUCUUUCAACUUUAGGUCGGUCCUAUCGAGCACUUUAGGUCGGUCCUAUCGCUCGAUAGGAAGGGAGACCGACAAGGUGAAACCUAUCUCACCCAAAAUUAAGGGCUAGCAGCUUCUCAGCGUGAAAAAUUAGAAGUUUAAAUAAACAGUAAGUUUCCUAUGCAGCUUCUGGAAGCUGGAAGCUUGAAAAAGUUGAGUUUAUAUGGGAUGCUGAAAAGCUCAAUUUUUCAAGCUUUUCGUAACCUUUUAAGUCCAGAAAGCUAAACACAUCUUCUAAAAGCUAGUAUUAGUUUUUAAAAAUAAAAUCAGCAGCAACUUUUCAAAAAAAUUCAAAAGCUAUAGCUUAAACAAACUGGUAGUACUCACUUUUUAUUCUCGCACCACCACCGCCACACUUGCCGUGUGAUGUGGUCUAUGGCUGCUAGGUAACCGUUACCGGACAUAUAAGCGGUGAGGAUGCAGCUCACGUAACACGAGAGCAAAAAGAUAAUGAGGGAGUCAUUACUUGUCCUCCUCGUUUGUCGGAAAGUAGGAAAUGGUUGUAACUUGUACUCAUUGGAGGUACUUUAAUAGCAUAUAGUAGGUUAUUUCCAAUAGCUUAGCUAUAUCCUUGGUUGUCUUCAUUGGAGGGGUGAUGUCAUCCUCGAUGAUUUUUAGCCGUUGGAGAUACAAGAAAUUAAAUCUUCAUAUAUACUGUGGCAGAGAGUUGUCUAGUUCGCUCACAUUUUUCUAGUAAUCGCUGUAUCAUCAAGAAGUGCACAAUGGCAUUGCGUUAUCACUUUUUUUCCUUUUGCAAAAGAACACAGAGCUCAGACGAAUGCACACUCUGAUUACACGUAUUUCUAUAGCAUCCUCACUCAGUAGACGUACCAUCACAUAAGAAAAAACAAAAGUAAGUUUCCAUCUCGCCGGUCUCAAUCCCACAUUGUUCGAAUCCUUCCUUGCAGUUAGCAACGGCCAAACAGUGAAGCACUUCCAAAAGGAAAUUAUUCCUACCCACUACACAUACGAGGUCAGGUCCGGUCAAGACGAAGACGGACGUGCCGACGUUGGUUGGUAGUUGGUACGGCCGAGUUGCCGACACAACCCCAUAUUUGCAGAGCAGAUACCAAAUCCCACAAACGACGAGGAUCGAGCUGCUUGGCCGACGACGCUGCACGUUCGCCGCCGGAGCAGGGCCGGCCGCCGCAAUUUCAAGGCGGGGCCGGCGAUGGCGAGAUGACGGCGACGCAGCUGGGCACGAAUUGGAAUUGAUGAGCAGCGAAUGAUUGCCCCGCCGGAAAGAUUAUUCGAUCCGAUAGAUUGGUGAACCUAUAGCUAGUGCGGCCGAAAGCUGCAGCGCCUUGCGUUUGCGUGGCUGUGGCGCCGUGCAAAGUGCAUCCCGCGGCCCGGCCGCCGGCGCCGCCGCCCUGCAGGGCGGAGCAACUUGCGCGCCGUCAUCGGAGCUGUGAUCGACACCCGGUGUAAAUCUCGAUGAUCAAGCUAGGUCCACGCACCCAGCUGAUAGCAUGUGGAUCAGUAUAUAUCCAGUGAUUGCUAUGUGACAUCUGUGUAUAGCAGGGCGAGCACAAAUCUCGAGAAAACGUGAGUGUAUACCUGACCUCCAUCUAGUUACUAGCUAAUUGCAUGAGGAAUCCGGCAAUUUUUGUUGCCUAGCUGGACAGAUGGAAAGGCAUAUCGAUCUAGUAUACUGUACCAAAAGUGGUGUGGGAUGGAUCCUUGACUGGGAUGGGAUCCAAGCACUUUCCUUUCAGCUACAUUACAAGAACAUUAAUAAUGGAGCGACUUGAUUAGAGCAUCUCCAUUGGUCUCCCAAUAACUAGUUAAUAGGAUGUCCCAAUAUCACUUUCAUUGUUAUUGGGAGAGUUGCUUUUGCAGUCUCCCAAUAAUCUCAUCCCAAUCCAAUUACCGUAUUGGGAGGGUCACACUUUAUUUAGGAAGAUUUGAGGUGAAUUAUUGGAUAGUCCCAAUAAUUAUUGGGAAAAGAAAAAAAAGGUAAAGGGAGACGGUUGGAGCACUAUUUUCUUAUCAACUCUCCCAAUACGAUAGUUGGAUCGGGAAAAGGAAGACUACUAGAGAUGCUCUUAGGUCCAUCGAUGUAGAACCAACCUAUCCGUUUCAAGUAUCAGAUUCAAAAGGUGCAUUGUAUUUCAUGGCUAAUUAUUCUUUCGACGGUAGGCAAAGUGGCCGUAGUAACUACCUAGUUCUAGAACUAGUUUUCAAUAACAAUUUCAGUUGAUUUUAGAACUAUUUUAAAAUUCAAGUUCUUUUAAAUUAGACUAUUCAACUGCCCAACCAGAAUAUAUAAAAUUUCCUGUAGUUAAUAUAAAUGUUUAUGCAGUGGCAUUUAUUCCAUCGAAUCUUCCUAGCUAGUUUAUGUCAUUUCACUCUCAUAAGCUUCAAGACAAAACGAGGUCAACAUCAUACGAAGAGCAUAACGAUACUAAUCAAUUGGUGAAACGGCAUCAUAAAUAACAUGGAGGUCCAGAGUUGAGUACCAAGGGGAAUUUGUGUAGCUUUCAAACAUAAAAGGUAAUAUUCUAGAGUUAGAAGGAUGAUGAUACCACUCAAAUUUUUGGCCUCACAUGCGGAUGCGAGCCAGAUAACGUGUCGAGCAUAUAUGGUGAAUUAUUUAACAAGAACAAAAAUUUAUUCGCAUGGAACAAAAUGGUUCUAUACCUAAAAAAAUGAGGUAAACACAUGGUGAUGAGGACAUCGCCAUGCUGGACACCCACGAGUCAUGGUCUUCCCCAAGUUACAGGUCGUCACCAAUUCGGUCGUUGUGUUUAGUUCGGAUUCAGCUGACAUCCUUGCACGAUUUCGGCCAUAAUCUCCCUCAUACAACAUCGAAACAAGACGUUCUUUGAUGCGUUGGAACGGGGAUGACGACGUCGUUCUUUUGGUUCUGGUCCUAGUUCUAGAAGGUUCGUGGAUCAUUCUGUGUGACCACAACAAGGUGCUGCAUCACCAGUUUUGGGCCAACUUGGCCUUGUAUCGUGUCGGGCCUUAAGCCCAAGUUGUGGGCGCCCCCCCUGGUCGCACCCAACCCUAGUUUGCCUUUUUGAUAUAAACUCAGUAGCCACCACCUUAGAAACUCGGGUUUUAUUUAGUUCUAGUUUUACUUUAAGAAACUGAUAUUGAUACGUUGUAACUGUGGCGACAAGUCCUUUUACAGUGAUCCAGGGCUCCUGUUCCUAUUCUCGUCGACUGUGUCGAUUAGUCCUUUCGAAUUGAGAGCUUGGACCCUUCUUUACUUCGUUCAUAUUUGCAAUUUCAGAUUGCGUGUUUAUACUUUCUUGCUUGUGUCCUUCGAUUCGCUUGCAGGGAAAGCCUUCUCGGCGAGGUCAAUCAAGUUGUGCUUGGUUAAUAACCAACAGAGCAGCGGUGUAGCGGUUGCAGGGAUUCGAAUCAUAUCUGAUUAGAAGCUCAGAUCGUCAACGUCGAGUCUCCACCAAUCAAAUUUAUCACUACCUUUCAGAAGAUCGGGCAAGUGCUACAUCACAUGGAACAAAUUUUCUAACCCGUGUUUUAGUUAACAUGAAUUGCCGGCACACAACCUUCAUUAAAAAUGAUUCAAGUUCCUUUUUUAGAUAAUGGAUUCAAGUUAAUUACUCCCACGAUUGAAUUCAAACCUUAGAAUUUCUACUAAUGGAAAUAAACACGAAAAUGGUACAGAAGGAAAGAAAUGCAGGUCAGUGUGAUCGCGUAAAAACACGCGGCAGUAAGACAAGACAGCGUAAACGGCCUGACACAGGGGUUAACCGCUCCCUCCCCUUCAUCAAAAACCGCUACCCUCUCUCGCGCGCCAUUGCAUCUCCGUUGCGCCCUCCCACGCCCGCCGCUCAGCGCGCGGCCUCGCCCCGCGGCGGCUGGCCGCCGGCCUGUGCACCGCGCCCUCUCCCACCGGCCACCGUCGAUCACGUCCGUAAUGGCGGACGGGCAUGGCGAAGGUGCCGCCUGGGAAGGGCCCUACGACCCGUUCCUUAUGCAGGACGACUUCGACGACGUCAUGUACUUGCUCGACAUGGCCGCCGUCGUCCUUGACCCGCCGCCGCUGGCAGCACAGGCGCAGAACGUCGCCGCUGGUCCCUCUCCCUCCGGCGACAAUAAUCUCCUGGAGUGUCCGGCGAAGUCGAACAACGACUCCGUCGGCAACAGCGCUCCUACACACAAUGCCGGCGUCACCACCGGUUCUCCUAGCAGGGCGCAAGACGUGGGCGCUAGCACAUCGGCGACCGCAUCGACGUCAUCGCCGGCGGCCACGCACCAGAACGCGUUAGAUUGCACCGGCUGCCAAUUGCUGCGAGAAGUUCUGCACUCUAACGGUAGACACACGUACCGACGACAUGGAUCGUCCAUGGAUGCCGAUCAAUCACGAAUGCUCAUACAUCUGGCUUCUUGCGAAUUUCUAGGGUUUGAGGCGACAAAGCUUAGUAUCCAUGGGGCCGCCGGGGUGUUCUACCAUGCAACACUGCAGGUGUACCGCAUCAAUUCCGAGGGCAUGGCAACAUCACUGACGCAUCAAUCCAACAUUGAGUAAGUUGGAGAGACUCGAAUUUCAUGUUGUGGCAAAUUUCUCGAAUGCUUUUGCAGUGCAUCUACUAGCAGUAAUUUGGUUGAAGCCCAUAGUUUCAGGUGCCGGGACUACGAGUGGGUGAAACGCUACCUGACGGGCUACGCCCAGCAACGCGCUGGCGGAGGCUACACCGUCAUCCAUGACUCGGUCUCGGCGUUCCACGACGCCCUCUGCACCAGGAUGAGCUACGGCGGCGGCAACGUUGAAGGCGGCGACGACCGCUGUGAAGGGGAAAUAAUGGCGGCAGCAGCAGUCGAAAAUGGUGGUGGUGAUCAUCAGCAUCAAGAACUCGCCGGUGCCGCUGAUGUUGCUGCACAUCCUCCCGUCGAGCAGGGCGACGCGCCGGCAGCAGCAGCAGCAGCAGGUUGGAUUGUGCAUCAUUGCAUCAGCUCUUCUGAUCUUCUUGCCCUUUGCAUUAGGUUCUAGCUCGCUAGGGUUUAAGUUUCAUAUUCAGUUUAUCAGUUACGACUUAUGAAUAAAGAUUACUGUUUCAAAUGUAUAGGGCCUUCUGAACCAAGUGCUGAUAACGAGCAGGAGCAACGGGAGGUUCGCCCGGUUGGCGGCAGGAGUGCACUUGCGAUCCAGGUAUCUAUGACACGUGAUCAUUCCACUGGAUCUACUGUUUUCUGGCACACAAAUUGUUUGUUACACCUCAGCUACGGUUAGUUAACAUUGGAAUUACAAAUUUACAACUAGUUUAACAUUUUUAAUUUGCAGAGGGAGAGAGCGAGCAAUCUGCAGCUGAGCGACCUGGCGCGCUACUUCCACCUCCCCAUGACCGAGGCCGCCAAGCACCUCGGCGUCUGCGCCACCGUCCUCAAGACCACCAGCCGCAGGUUCAACGUACCUCGCUGGCCUCACCGAAAAGUAACCACAAGUUCACAUGACCUAGCUCUCCUUAAUUUAAUUAUGUGCUUCGUCCUAAUCUCCUUUACUAAUAUUUUCUGAUGAUUUUUUCUCUUUCAUAUGUUUAAUCAACCGGUGAUGGGGAUUAUAUUUGUUUGUGUGCAGAUCAAAAGCAUUGACAACCAUGUUGCCAAGCUGAGGAGGAGCGGCGGCAAUGGCGGUGCAGCGGCGAUGAGUGAGAUGGAGAGGCUCACCGAGUCCAGGAGAAAGAUUUACGCUGACCUGGUUGGUCAGUAAAGACCAGGCACAUUGUCUACAAUUUUUACACUGGAAAUAGUACUUGUAAUAAGAUGCCGCGCAGAUAUAUACUUUGUUGUCUAGUAAGAUGCCAACAAUUUUUGUUUACAAGAAAGGGAAUAAGGAGAGAGCCCUCUCCUAGAUUUCAUGGAUGCUAAAAUGAGAUGGAUUGUCAGGUCCGAGGAAAAAAAAUCAAAAAUUAAAUAAAACGCCACAUACACGCACGUAUAAUUGCCCCUGCUAACACACGCACGCAACCCUACCCCAAUAAGCACCUCCGAAAGAUCUAGCCGGCAAAUUCUCGAGGUUGACGAAGUCACCACUGAAGUCUCGCUGCCCGUCAAUCCAGGAGCACUCGUGGAGUCGAGGACUCGAACCUCGGUGGACAGGUUCCACCGUAAGGACCUUAACAUCACAUGUAUAUUGGCACAAUCGAACAAAGAAGUCGCGGAUCCAUCCCCUUCAAAUCAAUUCAUAUCUCCCAAACUAUAGGUUUGAUUACAAUGCAUGGAUUUUUGUAUAGGCAUGUAUUUCCAUGAAUCCCCUACUCAUAUCAAAGUUUUAGAUCAAUUGAACACCAUCUUACUAUCCAAAUUGAAGUGACACAAAAUUCAAGUGACACACAAUUUAUUUUUGUGCGUAACAAAUAUUCCAACGGUGGUGGUGGUGCUGACUCACAUAUGGUAGAUGGAAGGAGAGAAAUUUGGCCCACUUGGGCCCACAUCAAACAUCUCGGAGUAGGUAGAUAGACGACUUGCGAUUUACAAAGUAGGGAAUUCAAUCACAAGUUAUAUUCAGACUCAAAUACCGAACGCAAGAUUAAUUAUUCAUACUAACCGAACCAUUUUGACCAAUCUUCAAACUUCAACUCAAAACAAAUGUCAAAUUAUUUUUAAAAUAGCAUGGUUUGUGUUACAAUUUGUAAGUGACGAAGUACUUGAUUUUUUUUAAAAAAAGAUUACUCCUCGUACGGUAUACACUGGCACUAAAUAUUCAGUUUUACCAACAGUACUGACGAUGGCCAUCGUAUUUCCUUAAUAUUUCUCUCGUAUAGACGAUGGUAAAUUUUAGUGCAAUUCAAUACCAUUCCAUAUGCUCGUCACUUCAAAAAGGGCAACCAGUCUCCACACGUUAUCAUUCCAUGUGAGAUUAAUUUCAGAGACAAAAAUACUUGAAUUUGAAAUGGGAAUUCACAGGCAACAUCGAUUUUUCCUUCGACUAUACCACUAAUAUACACAGUUAUCCGCUAGCUAUAUGAUUAUGUGUUUGAAACGAAAACUCAACUAUUUUGUCAUCUGUUAUGUACGAUCUAAACCGUGACUGCCGGAGUUGGGAGCUCCGGUAUGCCACCCUGGCUGUUGAGCACGAUGACCUUCCCCUCUGAGUCAACAUCCACAAUGGCAGAGUCACCCUCCUUGACCUCCCCAGCGAGCAUCUUCUCCGCAAGGCUGUCCUCCAGCAGCCUCAUGAUAGCCCGCCUCAACGGCCGUGCACCGUAGCUGGGGUUGUAGCCUUCAUCCACCACCCGCUCCUUGAACUUCUCAGUAACCUGCAGGUUGAUGUCCUUGGCCUUGAGUCGGUCGAAGACCUCCUGGAGCAUAAUAUCUGCGAUCUCCUUGACCUCGAGCUUGGUGAGCUGCCUGAAGACGAUCAUCUCAUCGAGACGGUUGAGGAACUCGGGGCGGAAGUACUGCUUCAUCUCCUCAAUGACGAGGCUCUUGAUCCUGCCAUAGCUGCUGUCCUUCUCGUCGGAGUCGAGGUCAAAACCAAUCUUACGCCCACCCUUCUCAAUGACACUGCUCCCGACGUUCGAGGUCAUGAUUAGGAGGGUGUUCUUGAAGUCCACUGUUCUUCCCUUGCUGUCGGUCAACCUCCCGUCUUCCAAAAUCUGGAGCAUCAUGUUGAAGACAUCAGGGUGUGCCUUCUCAAUCUCAUCAAAGAGCACAACUGUGUAUGGGCGCCGUCUAACUGCCUCAGUCAGUUGGCCACCCUCAGUGUAUCCAACAUAUCCUGGAGGUGAACCGAUCAGCUUGGAAACUGUGUGCCUCUCCAUGAAUUCACUCAUAUCAAGCCGGAUCAUAGCCUCCUGAGAGCCAAAGUAAUAGGCAGCAAGGGCCUUAGCGAGCUCUGACUUCCCAACACCGGUGGGACCUGCGAAGAUAAAGCUUGCAAUCGGCCUGUUGGGGUUCUUGAGGCCCACACGAGCACGGCGAAUGGAACGACUAAUAGCUACCACAGCCUCAUCUUGGCCAAUGACACGUUUGUGCAAAGUCUCUUCCAUCUUAAGAAGCUUAUCAGAUUCAUCACUGGAAACCUUCUCCACUGGAAUGCCAGUCCAUGACGAUACUAUGUGCUGGAUAUCUGCUUCAUUAACCAUAGGUCCUGUCUCUCCAGAUUCCUCCUCUGCUUUGCUCAUCUCUUUGCUCUUGUCAAUGAGGGCUGUUAUCUGGGCUUUCAAUUCCAUUUCACGGUCUCGCAGCUCUCCAGCCUAAUGGCAAUACCCAAAAAAAAACAGAAUUUAGCUGUGAGCAUUGGGGAAAAAGGUACACACAAUUAAGUAAACAAAAGUACAGGCAGAAAGGCAGAGCAUAGGCAUCAACAUAUGUAACGAAAGCAGGGAAAACAGUUAAAUAAACAAAGGCAGAAUGAGAGACAAGUGAAAUUGCACGUUAUCAAAUUUUAAAGUCAAGUGAUAACUAUUUAAAGUCAAAAGUGCAGCAAUUUUUUUUUAACUCGUAUAUUACAUCUUAAAAUGGAAAAUAGAGAAUAUCACUCAAAUAGAACACUGACGAAAGGAACAAGAAUUGCUGAAUCAUCCAAAAGUAUCUGUCAUCUACCAACUAUAUAUCUAAAUAUUUUGUAUAUACAAGUGAAUGUUUUCCAUAAAGCAGUUAUGGUGGAUGGAAGUUAUGGAGUAAUAUCAUCUGCCAGGAGGAGAGGCCUGGUACCAUUUCAGUUUGCAUCACAACAUGAAAUAGAUGUGAAAUUUAGUAAACCUAGUCAGUUACCUUUUCAAAAUCCUGGCUACGAACAGCUUCAUUCUUCUGUUUUGUGACUUGUUUGAGCUCUUUGUCAAGCUCUCUUGCUUCCUCAGGAACCUGCACUAAAAGUUCGAUUUAAAAUUGUUUUGGGCAUGCAAAAAUUAAGCAUAAAAAAUAAACGAAAGCAGAUGCCUCGGGAUACUUUUACCUGUGCAUGCUGUAGCCUAACACGGGAACCUGCUUCAUCAAUCAAGUCAAUUGCCUUGUCCGGGAGGAAACGAUCACUGCAAACAAAAUAUGCUGUCAGGUGAUGAUAAAGAUGCAGCAUAGUAGCAGAGUUAAAUCAUCCAUGAACAUAGUCAGAAAUGAAGUGCACUAGUUUCUCUGAGAUGUUAGCUAAGGUUCCAGGGUAUUUUGCUUGUACUUGUUUACAUGAUCAGCUGAAGUGACACACCUGAUGUAUUGAUAUGAAAGCUUUGCAGCUGCAAUCAGAGCUUCAUCAGUGUAACGAAGUUUAUGAUGGAUCUCGUAUCGUUCCCUAAGUCCUCUGAGAAUUUCUAUGGUUUCAUCUACUGUUGGCUCUGGCACUUUCACGGGUUGGAAACGCCUUUCCAGGGCUGGGUCUUUCUCAAUGUGCUUCCUAUAUUCAUCAAGUGUAGUCGCUCCAAUGCACUGAAAUUAGACAUAACAAGUUGGUUGUAACAACCUCAAGACAAGGAAGAGCGAUGAAAAAACUCAUGUUGAAGGAAAAGAAGAUACUUCACUUGCGCAAAAGAAAAGAAAACAGAAAAUUAACCACAACAUAGGAACAUGUAAUCUUAUCUACGCACCUGUAGUUCACCUCUUGCUAAUGCUGGCUUCAAAAUGUUAGCAGCAUCGAUAGCACCUUCUGCUGCUCCUGCUCCUAUCAGAGUGUGAACUUCAUCAAUAAAGAGUAUUAUCUCGUCACUUUGCUUGAUUUCUUCCAUCAGCUUCUUUAAUCUUUCUUCGAAUUCUCCACGGUAUUUUGUGCCAGCAACAAGAAGUCCCAUGUCAAGGGUAAUGACCUGCGGUAAAUUGGUUGAAGAAAUAUCCAUCAUUUCCUCACAAUCUCAUCAAAAGAAUGCAGAAACAAAGCAGAAAAAUAAAAGGUAUGAUCUUCAUAAUGUCUUCCAUAGAUUAAUCAGUUACAAAUUACAAUUCUAAUAUAACGUGUCGCAAAUAAGUAUGAAUACAGCAUACUUUGCUCUUUUAUUUGCUCAAUUAUUGUUGGGGUCAGUGCAGAUGAUUAGAAAAUUCUACAACAUUUUGAAUGCUUAAAUAUAGGGCUAAUAUGACUCGAAAUAUCAAGCAGGCUCUUCAAUGAUUAACAUUGUACCUACAUACUAGAAUGCCAACUGUACGGGGCUACUCAACUAAAAUGAGAAAGAAAAGAGCAAUAUGUGCAUGCACCCUCAUGUAGAGUAGCAUAAAUAUGCCAUACACAACAAAACAGAAGUGCAUAAAAGCAAAAGCUUAUUCCUAAGCUCAUAUGUUCACAUAAGUUGCAGAAUCAUUAAGCAAAAUAGUAAAAAUAGAAACAUAUUGUGUAUUUGCUCCGAAAUGAUGCAAAAGAGGCUACCUUUUUCCCUUCUAUUGUUUCAGGCACAUCGCCUGUAGAAAUGCGUUGAGCCAGUCCUUCAGCAAUUGCAGUCUUUCCAACACCAGGCUCUCCAAUCAAGCAGGGAUUGUUCUUCGUUCGUCUACCUAAAAUUUGUACCACACGCUCAAUCUGUGGCUGCCUACCAACAACAGGAUCUAGCUUUCCCUGCAGAUAUGAUAAAUAUUACUGAAUACUUCUUUUCCAGCACUUGUGCUUAUUAUAAUACAGGAGGACAGAAAAAUUACCUCUUCUGCUAAUUUUGUUAAAUUAGUUCCAUACUCCUCGAGCGUAGGCAUCUUAUUACCACUACUCCCUCCUCCAACUCCAGCACCAACAGCUUCUGUGGUCUCACCAAUCAUUCGGAUAACCUAGAGAUCCAUGACAUUGAAAACAAGCUAAUUAAACAAAAUUUGUUUUCAAACAGAGCACUUCAUCAUUAUAGAAACAGACACCAGAUAUAGUUUACCUGUGUACGGAUAUUGCUGGGGUCAGCUCCGAGACUCUCAAGUACACGAGCCGCCACACCUUCACCCUCACGAAGCAGUCCAAGAAGCAGGUGCUCAGAUCCAAUAUAAUUGUGUCCUGGAAAGGGAAGCAUUUAGUGCUCGAAAAAAAUCUUAUACAGAACUUGUCAAAAAUCAAGUGCACUAUGAUACGAUACAUAGAAGGAAAUGGUAUUCUGGUUAAGAUAAAUAUCUUGACAAUUAUCAACAUAGGAAGUAAAUCCACCAUAAUAAAUGAGAAAGCAGGGUGGGAUGAUUUUACAUAUACAAUUGGUCAAUGACAAAUAUUUUUUUUUACAAUAGACAAAGCAAGACAAUGGAUUCAAUUCCAUCUUAAGACCUGAAUUGUUAAAAGGGACAAAAGUAAUAUAUUGGAUGAUGCAAAACAAACAGGCCCGUAAUGAUGCAAAUAGCCAAAUAUGCAUAAUGAAGAUACAAAAAUAGCAAUGCGAUAAGGUUAUUCUAUGAGAUUAUGAUGCCCAUUGCACACAUUCACAACUUCCAUUCCUUAAAAAGUGGCACAAUAGACAAAAAUGGAAGAUCAAUUGCAUACAAAUAGUGCAAUGACCUGUCCAUUAUCAAAUCAGGAUCCCUCUUAUGUCAGUUAAGAAUGAUGUGUCGAAUACAUUUAAGGGAAACUGCACUUGUAUCUAUGUCAAGACGCCAUUUGAUAUCUUCAUAUCCAAAAGUCCACAAACUCUACCCAAUAUUUUCAGCAAAAUCUUUCAUUAAAAGAAAAGGCUGUCUGGGAGCUUUUUAUCAGGACUCAAUAGAAAAAAUGCCUAAAUCUGGAAGUAAUCAGAAAAGGAAACUCCAUUCUGGGGCUACAAAAUGUUGGUCAACAGAGACAAUCCUUCUAGAUUUUAAUCUGAUGCAAGUUGCAAAUUAAGGAAAUAGAAGACAAGACAAAAGGGUAUCACAAGAACCAUGAGAAGCAUACACAGUUGGCAAUUCCUUCUAGUUUGAUUUAGUUCUAGCAGUUAAUUAGAGCGAAUAGGAACUGAAAUUUAAGGCAUCAGGGUAAGGAAAAAAAAUAAAAAGAAGCCUUGAUUAACCUACCUAAUUGGCGAGCUUCCUCCAGUGAGAGCUCCAAAACACGUUUAGCACGUGGUGUGAAUGGUAUUUCAACAGCAACAAAGCCAUUGCCCCGCCCAAUGAUCUUUUCCACUUCCACACGUGCAUCCUUGAGAUUUAUACCCAUGGACUUGAGCACCUUUGCUGCAAUACCAGUCCCCUCUCCGAUCAGACCUAAGAGAAUCUGCUCGGUACCAACAAAGUUGUGGCCCAGGCGCCUCGCUUCCUCUUGCGCAAGCAUGAUGACCUUAAUAGCUUUCUCCGUGAACCUCUCAAACAUCGCCCGAGUAACAAAGCGAGAACGCCUUGUCCGUCGAGAGGAUCUGUAAGAUGCAACUGCCGACCUGGAAUUGGACACCGUUGGUGUGACCGAGAAGCUAUGUACUGAUCUUAGGCCGACGAAUGCUGACAUCUUGACAGGGCGGCUAAGAGACAUUGCCAACAUAGAGGCAGGCCUCCUGGUGCCAUGGGACCUCCAUCGCUGGGUGCUUAUGCGACCCCCGAACGUUGUUCCGAGGGCAACUGACUGGAGUAAAGUCCCUGCCAUGGUCAGAAGUGCUGCCCCUUAACCUGUGCAAAGACAUUAGAUAGUUUAGGAAUAGUUAAUACCAAUCCUCCAAAAAUCUCAGAUGGACACAAUGACUGAAAUCAAAACAUUCACAGCAGUACAGCCAAUUUUCGAAAUUUCGCCCAUCCUCCAGUUAAUACCCCAAACAAAUCACAAAAACAAACUGUGCUAAAAGUUGGAAAAUAAAGUGCGCUACAGAACUCCGCUUCCUACCAAAUUAAUCCGUAAAAUCUGGAUGGACAUGGACUGUACAUCCGCAAAAGAAAGAAACAUUUGGAUUUGGGGGGAAAGACCUGUUCCCCCGGUUACAGAAAGGGAUCGCAUCCAUGAACUGCGCCCAUCGAUCGAAUUAAAUAAUGUUUCAACCUCACAUUGGCAUCGGUUAUAACUAAAGAGGGAGAGGGAGAUCAGCCAUGCAUCUUAUCCAGAACCAAAACAGAAUAAAAAUCAAAACUUUUUCCACAAAACAAUCUACAGAUUCAGGGUCAGGAAUCACAGCCCACCCCCGACAACCGGUGAUUGCCCAUCCAUGAAUCGAAGAACGCGAAUCCUCGAUGAGAGUUUCGGGCACGCAACCAAGAACAAGAAAUUACCCAAUCGCAGAACGAGGAAUUCAGAGAGAGAGAGAGAGAGAGAGAGAGAGAGAGAGAGAGAGAAGCGAUGGUGGCGCUCACCUCCGAGGAGAGAGGGGAGGAGGUGGUGGAAGGGCGGUGCGUUGGUGUUGCGUCCUCCCCUGGUCCCUGGAGAUAAGGGGGCCGCUUGCUUGGCUUUGGCUGAGUGCCCAACAAAAAAGAGAACACAAGAUUGUUCUCCCCCUCCCUCUCUUUCUCCUCCUUUCGUCCAGGCUCCUGAUUCUGCCUUUUGUCUGUUUCCUAAGUUUUCUAUUUUAUGUUUUCUGCAUUUCUGAGGAUGGGAAUUUUUUGACAAUUCGGCAAUUUUGUUCGUGCCAUGCACUGCGAUAGAUAUUUUUUUGGGGGUAACAGAUUUUUUUCCCAUUGUGAGAACAGAAUCAGCGGUGUUCUUGAGUGUUUGCAUUGCAAAUGUUUGGGGGACAAACAGUAUUGUUGACAAAAUUGAAUUAGGACUCCAAAGAAAAGGAAGCACAUUUAUUUUAAUUUUCUCUCUAUUAUAUUUAAAUUGUACAUAAGAAAAAAAUUUAGAUGAUGGUGGAGCCCAAGUGGCAUGGUUCAGCAUGACCGAGAAUUAGAUCAAAAUUUCAUAGGACCACCAUCUUCAAUGUAGGGUGGAAUGCGAUUCGAGUGCAUCCAAGUUCAUCAUGAAAACAAACAUUUAUAAAAAAAAACUAAAAGCAAUGAGUACCUAACGCUUAUUUUUUUCAGAAAUAAAAUGAUUGAAUCCCAGUAUAGAGUACUGAUGUUACCCGAAAGAGGAAUGAAAUAGUACAAAAUACUUUUCUCUUGCCAAACUGUAAGCAUCAAUGCGUUCAGUCACAUAACAAACCAUUUCGUCUCAUACACAUUUCUCUUUCUGAUCUUUUACAGCGAUGUGGUCGGCAGAUAAGAUGAAUAUACACGCACACAAAAAUCUUGACAUGGGCACUGUUGAGAUGGGUGUUCCUUCUCCUUGACGCCGGCGCCAGAGCUUCGUAGGCCAUCAGUUUCUGAACAGAAGAGUUUUGUAGUGUGCGCUUCUGCUACGGAAGCGACAGCUUUCAAGCUUUUGGUGACAUCUGAAUCCACUCACUGAAUCUGAACGAAAUUUUGAGAACCUCUGAAAUCUGAAUAGUUCUCCGCCUGCCAAACAAGCCGCCACGCCCACGGGACGAAUUCUCUGAAGAACACAAGUGCCACUUGUACUGCUGCACUUGCUCUUACGGAUGCAGACAUACGUCUUUGCAAACUUGGACAACAACCAUGCUGCAAGGAAGGCUGCUGAUUGCCUUUGCUACAACGUACUGUGGCAUGGUAUCGUACAGAAGGCUGCUGAUAGCUACAGAACUAUGGAAGGACCUAUGCAGAUGGCUCAUGCUUGAUUGUUGUAUCAUGACAUUUUGGAGACAGCCAUAGACUGAAUUGGUAAUCUGGAGAAUCCAAACCGAUGCCUUCAUGGCCAUCAAACUCAUCCAAUCCAAUCAACUCUUCGAUCCGACUCUUUUUGUCCGCUAGUUUUUGGGUGUCGCGUGCUCCAGUCUCUUUAAGAGGUUGAUCUGUCUGUAACUUUGGAGCGCUGACCCUUCUUGGGGCGCCAAGUUUCAAGUGAGGCGGCCUUCUUCUCUGACAGUUGCUUGGCACCUGGUGACUGGAGGGUGCAGACGCUUUUGUUGUCCUGCUCAACCUGGAGGGAACUGCUGGCGCCUUCUGAAUCUUCGCUUGAGAGGAGGCUUUGGUUCCUUUUGUGCCUGAAUUGGUAGUCCCUCUAUGCAGUUCAGCGCUCUUCUUUGCUGAAGCAAGUUUGUUCUUAUGGAGCCUCUGCAAGACUGGAUUUAACUGACGAACUUCAGCAUAACCAAUAUCCAUUGUGUUUCUACGAGGCGACACACUGAGAAAUUUGUCAAAUUCAGGACUGUUGUAGCAAGUGCGCUCAAAUGGCCAGAAUAUUGGCUCAUCAGAGUCGUUAGCUUCUUUCCUUUGCGAUGUUCCUGCACUAGAACUGGGAGGACCAAAUUGGAGGCUUCUGACUGCACUGAAAGAAGGACUGGGAAAGUCAGAAUCGAGAAUAUCAAGAAACUGUUCCUUGCCUGGCAGCAAAGCAGAAUCCUCUGCAUCAAGAUCUAAAGAAGAGACCCAUAUAUCUGUUCUGUCAAGAUCCUCAGACUGAGUAUCUGACUGUACUGUGAAUGGUGUACUUGGGGUACUGAUUGUAGAUGACUGCUCGCUGAAACAGCUAUCAUAUGAAGAAUCACCACACUCCGAGUCUGAAAGGACAAAGGGAAAGCCAUUCUUUUCAAGUCUCCAUCUAAUCGCCUCCUCCUCAGUAGCAUCCCGCUUAAGACUCUUUAGUGGCAAAUUAAGGAUGGCUGAUGAAACCUCCUUGUCAGGACAAGGAGAAGUUGCAAUUUCCACCCUGUGCAUGAUGACAUCAUUGGAACUAUACAAUGAUAACUGCAUCAAGAACUGAUUAUGAAGUGAAGUUGCCUUCUUGUCAAGCUCAGAACCAUCAAAAUCAUGGGUCCCCUCGCUGUCCUUCAUUUUAUGUCACCCUAAAAGAUUGAUUCGACCUAGCAUUGACAGAAAUAAGAACUGUUAGUGGGAAAUCGGCAAACACUAGCAAAGCUAUUGAGUUUUUCCAGGAAAACAAUAAGAAAAUGGUAGCACCUGCAGUCAAGACAAGGUAUUGCAGACAAACCAGAAGGAAGAUAAGCCAGAAUCACACCUUACAUAUUGGAUUGAAGUAUCCAUUAACAUUGUGACAUCGAUAUUACACAAGCAAUUAAUAUCGGCAAAUCAAGUUGACAGGAUCAAACUAAUGUGUUCUGCUAUGAUAAAUAAGUGACUCAAAUGAAACAAUCUUGACUUCACAUCAUACAUGACGUAAUUAAUUUUUCAUAUUUCAGUAUUCUGAAAAGUAUCCCCACAGAAUGUGUCACUGUAUUUGUUAUUCAAAGGCACUUUCUCACAAUUGACCAGGAUUUUAUAUCUGAUCCACUUCCUAACACAACACUGCUUUUGUUAACCACUUCAGCUACAUGUGGACUUUUAUACAUAAAGAAAAGGAACCUACUCCCAUCUACGAAAGUGCCCUAAUGUCCGGGUGUUGUUUUCGGUAUAUCACUAAACAAGUUCAGGUGCCCCAAUAAGGGGGAAAAUUCCAUUUCUUUAGUGGUCAGAUAAAUUCUGGAAAAAGAACUACACCAAAUAACCAAUGGACCACUAAAAUCAAACUGAGGCUCUAGUCAAGGAAACAGGCAGGCUUGUGUCAUCAGUUCUCGCAGUACUUCAAGGAAACUAAGUCCAUUCACAUAAUGACAGGCUUUCAUAGUGAUCUCAGAAAUGGUCACUUGGUCAGAGUAGAGAAGGUGAGAUAGUGAUAUGCAAAGAAAUUUGCUUUCGUUUCAAACGUAAAUAUUGACAUUAUGACCGCCGCUCAGAUUACACAAUGAUGCAUUUGGACAUGUGGAAAUUUUAUGCGGGGUUAAACUUUACUCCAGUGAUGUUUUUAGGGGGAAAUAUAUUAGGAAACGAGACCCCCAAAGUACUCUGUUCCUGAUGCUAAAUGAAAAUUAAGAAUUUCUGUUGUUGAAGUAAACUCACCCAGCAAUCCCCAAUAGUUUCAGAGUUACACCAGCAUGCAGAAAUCAUUGACUUUAUAUAAAAGCUCGUGAAGAUGAAGUGCUUUUUUCCGUGAUAAACCAGUCUGCUUACUCCUAAUCAAGCUAACAACUCUGCUCCUAACCAAGAACUCAACAUGCAGAAAAUUUCCCCCUGAUUUCAGAAUCCACGACACGGAGGUACGAAACCAUACCCUUUCUAGCAAUAGGGAUACAGAAGGGAGACAACAGAGAAAGAACUGAAAGCUGAAAGAAAACCACUGCGAGGGCACUGUCUUCGAGGUUAAAUUCGGGAAAAAAAAAAGAAAGGAAGAUGGGUGAAGUAAGCGACUGAAGAUGUAUACAGUUUGGCGGAUGAUUCUGAACUGAAAGAAGAAAGGGAGAGAGAAGAAUUUCUACCUGAAUCUGGCGCGCCUGGACGAGAAGCCGCCACACCCUUUUGCUCGGCUUCUUUCUCCCGCCGCCGCUCUCCCUCCGUCGAGGGCGGUUUUGAAUGAACCCCCUCUGGUUUUGGUAGCGAUUUCUUCUUGUUUGGACCUCGGAUUCCUUAGGGUUGACAUGUGGAUCCUCAGAAUUCAGGUGAUUUUCUUUUUGUAACCGGCCAGGCAGGGGGUAUUCUUGGUGCUCGUGUGAAACCGAUCGCAUCUGGGCCACCAAAAUUAUACAGCAUAUCUUUCUUUUCCUAAAUCUUCUGUGAUCACUUUCCAUAAGUUAUUGUUCUCUCCAAUGCUUUCCAUAAAUUCUUGGCAUUGUCGAAAUGUUAAGGGGGCGCUGAGGUCUUAUGUUCGGGUUUGACCAUGUUUGCCGGGCUAGUCUAAUAGGAUAUGCUACCUGCGUUAAGAAUCUUGCAGAGAUAGUAUGGUUUAAUAACUUUUAAAAAAAAGAUUUGAAGAGAUUUCAGAGAUGGACAGAGAAGCUGUUGCGUGUUUUGCUGGCCCAACUCAUGUCCUCCUAAGACCCAUUAUUCGGUUCCGUUUUGGGCCAUGGUCGCGUACCAGCAGCCUAAGCCGGCGACAUCACAGCCCACUCGCUUGCCCCGAUUCCUUACUUGGGCCAGUUUCAUUUGUACCUGGAUGAAGUCUUCCCACCAGUCGAGAAGCCUUUUCUCGCAGUCGCGCAGGCGCGCAGCCUGGGAGCUGCUAGGCGUCACUUGAGGCGACAAAAUCGCUAACCAACGCCUCAAGACGACGCGGUCCACCAAACAGCCCAUGAAGGCUGGACCACGCGCCACCGCUGCUUCCCCUCCUCCCCCACAUCGCCCUCCUCCAACAUCUCCGGCAGUUCCCACCACCGCCUUAACCCGAUGCUUACCGUCACGCCCCCGCCUCCUCCACCACCCACCAACUAUCCUCCACCACCCGAGACUGGCGGCACCCCGCCCUGCCCACAACCCAUCGUUGCCGUCGAUCCGCCGCCGCCUAAGGCCCUCCCUCUACAGCCGGGACUCAUUAGAGACCCCACAUCCCCAGCAGCACGAACUCGAAGCCCCUAACCCCAAACCCUAACCCUAUCGGCAGCCACUCACCGGAGAACUCACAGCCCGCCCCCGCCCAGUCCCUGGCCCACCAGCUAUCAAGAUGCCACCCUCCCGAUGCGAUGGCAGCCCCACGCUACGCUGCCCCACAACCCACCUCCGCGCACCGGGCUUCCCUGCUCCCUCAUCCACCCCUUUUCUAAGGUCGGAAUGGAGCUCCCCAAUAACCCCGCGCCCAAAUACCCUAACCUAGCGGCAUGGCCGCGCCGGCUGCGAGCGGAGAUCGAGCCAGCGAGCAGAGGCGGAAGAAGGCAGAGGAGGAGGUGUUGCUGAUAAGCGGGAUCCACAUAUAUGCAACUGUUGACGCCAGAUUUCGUCACUAGUAAAAUCGGCGCCAAGAAGAGAGGGAAUCGGAGAAGCACAGUUGGGAAUCGGUCGAAUGGUGCUACAGUGCGAGAUCGGCCGGUGACUUCUGUCUCGCUUCGGAUUGAACGUGCCGGGGUCCCAAUCGGUUGCCUUUUGCCGAUAAGGAUUCGGCCGAUUAGGAGGAUGGUUUAAUUGGGCCUGUAUGGGCUUGGAAAGGAAUAAGAGGAUAAGGGGGAGAUCAGCCCAUGAAGCGUAGAGUAACCAACCUAGCACGAAUCGUGCUUGUAAAAUAUUCGUUUUCUGUUUGAAUUAGGGAUAGAAUUCUAGUCGGUUAAGAAGUCCUCUGUACGGGGCUAUAAAUAGCUACCUUUGAAAAUAUGUAAUCAUCAACAAAUCAAUACAACAUACUACUUUUUCCUCGUACUUACUUCCAAGCAGACGACUUCGUCAUUACUUUUCUCUUUUUCACGAGUUCGUGCGGGUUGGCAGGGCUGCAUCAGUUCGAUCUUCGGCCGAUUCUGUAAGUUCCGCUUAUCGAGUAAUAUCUAAGCUUUAACUUCGGGCGCAUCGCUGUUGUUUCGUUUAGAUUUAUUCACUAGUUAUCGAUAUUUGCUAGAUUCAUAGGUUUUACCUAUCUUUCUAGUUUUAUCACCAGUUAUCCAGCUAGGAAUCGGUAGUUUCGGCUUUCUUCACGUUCUGCUUUUAAAUUCAUCUAUUGCCGAUUAGAUCUGUUCCUAGUGUUGUUAUCUUAGCUUUGUGUCGAUUACUCUAGUAGUUUUCCGUCUACAAGGCUACAGUAAUCGGCUACCUUAUAGCCGAUUUCUUUAUUACGGCAAAUCGGCCGAUUCGCUGAUAAGCUAUCUCGAGAUUGGAAACUUAGCCGAUCGCGAUUUCUGGACCUGACACGUAUUCUUCCUUGCCAAUCAACAGGUCAGAUUGGCUGGCACGCCGCGCGAACCGCACCAGGGCAAUCACCCGAACAGGAGUUAAGCAGAUUCUCCCGGGUCGUGUGUCGGACGCUGGGAUUCGGUUGAUCGAUUUCUAGCGCCAACACACUUUUGGCACGCCCGGUGGGACCAAUACAACCGCCAUCAUGUCGAAAGCUGCUGAAGUCUCCGAAGAAAACGUCAUCGAGGUGACGGAGGCAGAUCUGAAGGACGACCAGAAGGAAGAACUGGAUAAAUAUACGGCACAGUUCCGGAAAGCUUGCCUACAGUCUUUCAGUCGCUCCAGAAGCGGGGAAACUAUCAAGAAGACUCCGUUCCCUGCUCCCCGCCAGAUCAUGAUUUCUGAGGACUCGGACAAAAUGGCCGAUAUGAUUCAACAGUCCAUUUAUCACGCCUUCGUUGAUCAGUCCCCAGUACUUUCAAAUAUGGUGCACAACGCCGUUGUCAACUCCUUCGCUGGUGGGAUACCUCAAGGAUACAGGGGACCGGCAUAUUUUCAGCCGAUUCCACCAAACCAGAAUUAUUCAAAUUCGGUUUCACAGCCGAUCCAAUUUUCGGUCGGGGGUUCAGGUGCUUCCUCCUUAUCAGCUCCUAUGGGGUAUAACUCCAUCCAACUGUCUUCCGCACCAUUCCCUCCAGUUGGCCCAUCACCCUGGGGGGCACCUUCAGCCACGGCCGGUCAGAAUCAAUCGGCCAGUCAAGGAAGCCCUCCGUUCCAGGCAUCUUUCCAGGCGGCCACUCGGUCGACCGUACCGCCAUACCAGCCUGUCGCUCUGGAGGUCAACAAGACAGCAGAGCUCAUGCUGUAUGAUGAAACGAGUGGUUCAUUCAAACAGCCGACCUUUACCACGCAGCCGGCUUUCACUCAGAUGCCACCUGCUUUCACUCAGCCUCCGUUUAUUCCGCCUCCAGUGUACCAGCACGUGCCAAUACCUCAGCCAACGGUUCACCAGCAACAGCCAGAUUGGUCGGCACGUAUUGCGGAGGUGAUGCAAGAACAAUUUGGCUUAAAGCCGAAAGUACAAACUUACACCUACAGAACACCAUACCCGUCUACAUAUGACCUAUUGCCGUUUCCCCAUCGGUAUAAAGUUCCUGACUUCACUAAGUUUUCGGGGAUGGAUGACACUUCGACCGUAGAGCACGUAAACAGAUUCAUCAUCCAAUGCGGAGAGGCAGCUACGCAGGAUGCCCUACGGGUACGGUUGUUCUCAUCAUCUUUGUCUGGGUCGGCCUUUCAAUGGUUCACGACAUUGCCGCCAAACUCGAUUAUCACAUGGGCCGAUUUGGAAAGACAAUUCCACAAAUACUUCUACGCCGGGGUGCAUGAGAUGAAACUGUCCGAUUUGACCAGCCUCAGGCAAAGAAGUGAUGAGCCGAUAUCCUCGUAUGUACAGAGGUUUCGGGAAAUCAGAAACAAGUGCUAUUCCCUAGGUCUAAACGACGCGCAGUUGGACGAUAUAGCUUUUCAAGGCCUUCUACCCCACAUCAAAGAAAAAUACGCCUCACAGGAGUUCGAGAGUUUGAGCCAGAUUGUCCACCGAUUGUCUGGACAGGAGGUACGUUCCUUCGAUCCACGGAGGAAUUUCCAGAAGAAAGUGGCGUUCCUGGAAGAGUUAGAGGACGAGGAAGACAUUGAAGUCGGACUUGCGGAGUGGAUCAAGGGAAAGAAGCCGGUAUCAUGCCCAUUCGGCAAAAAGGAGCCGGAGGUGUUCGGUUUUGACACGACAAAGGCCGAUAAAAUAUUCGACCUUCUCCUCCAGGAAGGACAGAUUAAACUCUCGCCGUACCAUACAAUACCUUCUGCCGAACAACUAAAAAAGAUGAAAUACUGCAAGUGGCACAACGCCACGUCCCAUGAUACUAAUGAGUGCAAAAUCUUUAGGCAGCAGAUACAGUCGGCCAUUGAGCAGGGCAGACUUAAAUUUGAAGUGCCGACAAAAUCGGCCAAGCUAAUGAAGAUCGACCAGCAUCCCUUCCCCACCAACAUGGUUGAUACAGGAAAAAAUUCACUCCAAACAAAAGUGCUGACGUCCGAAUCGGCUAAAAAGAGUGGCGCCGUCGACCCCAGAAACCAAGCUACGCCUGAAGAUGUCAAAGGGAAGCGGCGGAUGGAGGAUGACGACGGCGAAUCAGAAGAGCCACGCAUUACUUCCCAAUUCCUGCUCCAGAAGUACCAACGUCAGCAUGAACGUUCAAGGUCCCGGGAAGAAGCAAUGCGACGGCACGAAGAUCACUGGAGGUGCCCGUUCUUCAUCCACUGUUGGGAAAACAACCUCAGGCUACCUUCGGCCGAUAAUUGCCCAGAAUGCAACGGUCCAUAUCGUGGAAAUCGGCCGUUCAACAGGUCCCGCUCCAGAGACGGAAGGCCAGAACCGAUCAGCAGGAAUUGGCGCAACCAAGAUGACCAGCGCCCUCCCGUGCGUGAUCGGCUGGGAGGCAGAAGUGACCGAUAUGAUCGGUCGGAAGAUGGACGCCAUGACAGGCAGGGGGGCAGGACUGAUCGGCAUGACCGGUCAGAAAAUAAGGUCAACGUUCACAACCGGCUCAAAGAGAUAGCCGAUGCUCGGGUGACAGACGAAAACCCGUUAGGACGCGAACCGGAGUCGGAACGCGCCAAGUCAGGGGGCAGACCAAUAAACCCCAGGUGGUGUCCCGAUGGAUUAACCAAGUCUCAAAAACGAAGAAUCCAACGUCUCCGCCAAUGGGAACAGCAAGAAGAGGAAGGCACGACGGACAAGAAGGAAGGAAGGCCUCGGGUGUGGCGCCCCAAAAGAAACGAUAAAGGAGACGAAGAAUCGGCGGGUGACGAAUUGGCAGCCGAGAUCGGCAUGGUUUUCAUACUGCCGAUGGAAUUCAUGACUCCCGCCGAUCAACAGGAUAUAUCGGCGAUAGAAGAACAAACGGCACAGUUGGCUUUGGAGCCAAUGAUGGCCACGUUCAAGAAGCCCGAAGAUAACGAACGACAACACAUGAAGGUGCUGUUCCUUAAAGGGCAUGUUGACGGCCGCCCCCUCACUAGACUGAUGGUAGACGGAGGAGCUGCAGUCAACAUCAUGCCGUACGCCGUACUCCGGAAGCUUGGGAAAAGCGACGACGACUUGACCAAGACGGACAUGAUGCUCAAGGACUUCGAGGGCAACGUGUCAAACGCUCGCGGCGCUCUCUGCGUCGACCUCACCAUCGGCAGUAAGACCCUUCCUACCACCUUCUUUAUUAUUAAUGGCAAGGGGUCCUACAACAUGCUACUUGGCCGGGACUGGAUACACGCAAACUGCUGCAUCCCGUCAACAAUGCAUCAAUGCCUCGUGCAAUGGGUCGGCGAUAAUAUCGAGGUGGUCAACGCCGAUUCCGCGUACAGCAUCGCGGCAGCCGACACGCAGCAGUGGAGCUGCGAAACCGUCAGGUGCAUAUCCGGCAGAGUAUGGGAGACCGAUUUCCUGAAGGUCACCGAUUUUGGCCUACAGCCGAUCCGAGCAGUCGGCUCCGAAGACUCAGAGUAGAUGGAUCAGUUCGCCCGAGAAGAUGGGAAGCUAGGGCACGGGUUCACGUCGGCCGAUUCGUUAGAGAUGAUAGACUUAGGUGAUGGUACCAAACCAAGGCCGACUUAUAUUAGUGCAAAUUUAGACCCAGAAUACAAGUGUAAAUUGACAAAUUUGUUAAAGGAAUUUAAGGAUUGUUUUGCUUGGGAGUAUCACGAGAUGCCCGGUUUAGACCGAUCUAUUGUUGAACAUCGGCUACCCAUAAAACCAGGGUAUCGGCCAUACCAACAGCCCGCACGGCGCUGCAAUCCUAAGAUUCUACCAGACAUAAAAGCUGAAAUAACUCGGCUAAUCGAAGCAAAAUUUAUUCGGCAAUGUCGUUAUGCCGAGUGGAUCUCCAACAUUGUACCAGUAUACAAGAAAAAUGGAAAGCUACGCGUUUGCGUUGAUUUCAGGAAUCUUAAUCAGGCCACACCGAUGGAUGGUUACCCCAUGCCGACGGCCGACAUACUGAUCGACGCUGCCGCGGGACACAAGAUUAUUAGCUUCAUGGACGGGAACGCUGGAUACAAUCAAAUACUUAUGGCCGAAGAGGACAUACCCAAAACGGCCUUCAGAUGCCCAGGUCACCUUGGCUUGUUUGAGUGGGUGGUGAUGACUUUUGGCUUGAAGAACGCUGGCGCUACAUAUCAGAGAGCCAUGAAUUACAUAUUUCACAAACUCAUUGGCAUUCUGGUAGAGAUCUACAUCGAUGAUGUCGUAGUCAAGUCCAAAGGUCACGAAGAGCAUCUGGCCGAUUUACGAAGAGUGCUAGAGUGUACCAAAAAACACGGUCUUAAGAUGAAUCCCAAUAAAUGUGCUUUCGGCGUAUCCGCCGGACAGUUCUUAGGAUUCAUGGUACACGAACGAGGGAUAGAGAUCAAUCGGAAGACCAUAGCGGCCAUCAAGAAAGUCGUGGCCCCGCAGAACAAAACCGAACUGCAGUCUUUAAUCGGCAAGGUGAAUUUUAUCAGAAGAUUCAUAUCUAAUCUAUCUGGGCGGAUUCAGGCGUUCACACCACUGUUGAAGUUAAAGCCUGACCAGGAAUUUAUAUGGGGAGAGGAGCAACGCAAAGCACUGGAAGAUAUCAAGCGAUAUUUGGUCUCACCACCAGUGUUGGUUCCUCCUCAAACUGGUAAGCCUUUUAAGCUAUACUUAUUAGCCGAUGAAAAAGCUAUUGGGUCAGCUCUAGUCCAGGAGUUCGAAGGCAAGGAACGAGUAAUUUAUUAUGUCAGCAGAAGACUUCUGGACGCUGAAACAAGAUAUCCUCCGGUGGAGCGUUUUUGCCUAUGUCUUUACUUCUCAUGCACCAAACUCAGGCACUAUCUACUGUCGGCAGAAUGCGUGGUCGUAUGCAAAGAUGACGUAGUAAAAUACAUGCUAUCACUGCUGAUCUUGAAAGACCGAAUCGGCAAAUGAAUCUUAGCUUUGUCAGAGUUUGACCUGCGGUAUGAAUCGGCAAAAGCCGUCAAGGGUCAGGUCAUGGCCGAUUUCGUCGCCCAGCACUGCGGACCGGAGAUUGCCCUCGUAGAACCGGCACCUUGGACAUUAUAUUUCGAUGGGUCAUCAUGUGGGGUCGGAUCAGGAAUCGGCAUCGUUCUCAUAUCGCCUCGGGGGGCAAGCUAUGAUUUUUCUCUGCCGAUAGAAACCGCCGCUACUAACAAUCAAGCGGAGUACCGAGCUGUAUUGAAGGGCCUACAACUAUUAAGGGAAGUCAAGGCCGAUUCUGUCGAAAUCUUUGGAGAUUCCAUGCUUAUUGUGGAUCAACUGACCGGAAGGUCUGAAUGCAAAGACGACGUAUUAAGAAUUUAUUACGAAGAUUGCUUACAGCUCUUAAAGGAAUUUAGAUCGGCAGUAAUCGAGCACAUCCCAAGGGACCGCAACGAAGAUGCCAACAAACUCGCCCAGCACGCAUCUGGAUAUCGGCCAAUUCUAGGCGCUAUGGCUCUAGAACUCACGGCCGAUGACUGGCGUAAAGAAAUUGCCGACUACCUAAAGGAUCCGUCUAAAAAGGUGGAACAACGAGUACGUUUUCAUGCUACUAAAUACGUACUGCUUGAAGACGACCUAUUCUACCGAACGAUCGACGGUGUUCUACUCAAAUGCCUUGGGACAGAGGAGGCCAAGACUCUAAUGGGAGAAAUCCAUGAAGGGGUAUGUGGAGCACACCAAUCGGCCCAUAAGAUGAAAUGGAUGAUCAGGAAUAAUGGGUAUUACUGGCCAACGAUCCUCGAAGACUGUUUCAAAUAUUAUAAGGGUUGUCAAGAUUGUCAAAAGUUCGGAAAUGUCCAACGUGCACCCGCAUCGGCCAUGAAUCCUAUCAUCAAGCCAUGGCCGUUCAGGGGAUGGGGAAUAGACCUUAUCGGCCAAAUUUACCCUCCAUCAAGUAAAGGGCACAAGUUUAUUCUCGUGGCUACCGAUUACUUUACUAAAUGGGUGGAAGCAAUUCCGUUAAGAGCCAUGACAUCGGCUAUCAUGGCUGAUUUCGUAAGAGAUCACAUCGUUUACCGAUUCGGCAUCCCUCAAACUAUAACAACCGAUCAGGGAACAAUGUUCACAUCGGGGGAAUUCGAGGAAUUUACAACCGAUAUGGGGAUCAAAUUGUUGAAUUCGUCUCCGUAUUAUGCCCAAGCCAAUGGGCAGGCCGAAUCCUCCAACAAAGGGAUAAUCAAGUUAAUCAAAAGGAAAAUCGAAGAACAGCCAAAGAAGUGGCAUCUAUGUUUGACUGAAGCCUUAUGGGCGUACAGGAUGGCUUGUCAUGGGGCCACCAAGCUAUCUCCCUAUCAGUUGGUGUACGGUCACGAUGCAGUGUUACCAUGGGAAUCAAGGGCGCGAUCGAGGCGCAUUUCGCUCCAAGACCAGUUAACGGCCGAUGACUACUCAUCACUUAUGAAAAGGGAACUUGAUGAUUUGGCCGGCCAAAGAUUGAGAGCUCUGAUAAGCAUUGAAGAAAACAAAACGAAAGUAGCCAGGUGGUACGAUAAGAAGGUCAAAGUCAAGCAAUUCUCCCCUGGGGACUUAGUAUGGAAGUUAGUAUUGCCGAUUGGGUCGAAAGAUCCUAAAUUCGGAAAAUGGUCCCCCACAUGGGAAGGGCCGUAUAAAAUUGGCAGAUGUGUUCCAGGGAAUGCUUACAUUUUGGAAACAAUAGAGGGAGAAGAAUUUACUAGAGCCCUGAACGGAAGGUACUUAAAAAGAUACUACCCCAGUAUAUGGGUCGGAGCAUAAGAGACUAACAGUAAUACGAUCACAUAUAGCCGAUACAAAACGGUUCAAACACAUAGUCGUCCAAAUCGGCCGAUGUAUUCAUUCGGUACGGGCGAUGGGUUACACGGCCGACAGAACACAAAGUCGCCCUUAGAACAAAAAAUACAAAUAACUAAUUCUUCUUCUUCUUGCGCUCCCUCCCAGUCCGAUCCAACUCGUUCAUGAUGCGGAGGUAUUCUUCUUCUAUUUCUUUCAUUGAGGCCUCCGCUUCAACUUGACGAGGGAGAGGAUGGCUCCGGUCCAGAGGAGGGCGCGACAUUCCUGCCACCACGUCUUCAAGAACGACUCGCGGAGGAAGCGGAUGGCUCCUGUCGGUUGAAGAUUGCCGGCUACCAUUACUCUCCACAAACUCCAAGACCACACGAGCCUCCGCGGUGACAUGGUCCCGGAGUUCGUCACGAUGAGCCCAGAUCAGCUCCUUAUCCUCUGACGACAAUGGGUCCUCAGAGUGUAUGAACUCGAUGGCGCGUAUGAGCUCAGGGCUAAGACGCUGAGGCUGAAACAAAGAAGGAAUAAGAAGGGGCAUCCUCUUCCUACAAUCUAAGAAGAGAAAGGGAGUCAAAGCCAAGGUUUCACCUGGUUGACAGAGGAGGAAGAAGCCGACGAAGACAUGACAAAAAGACGCGCCGACGAGAGGAGUAAGGAAAUAAAAACCGAAAGCCAAAUUGGUACGUUCGGAAGGAAGUGCCUAGGCCGGUACUUAUAAGAAAAAGAGGCGUGGAAAUUUGGUAAGGAUACGUCCCAUCGGAAUUUAGGAAGGCAAUAAAUAGAAAGGGCAUCGCGAAGGGCGGUCAAAGCAGAUAGUAAAUGUUCGUACAAGACAGUCAGUGUUUUACAGACUACCCAGAAGGGUAUUGAUAGCCGUGAUUGCCCGACGCCGGAUCUGAUCGGCAGAGUCCAGAACCCGUUGGUCUUCAUCCGCCGAUCCGGGGACUUCCGAAGCGCUGCGGUGGAGUUUUAGGGCCUCGUGGGCCAAACGCUGCCUCUCCCGUGUCAAAUCAGCAAUGACAGAAGGGAGUUCUUGGAGCCUUUUCUCUUCGGCACUAAUUGCCUUGGUCACUUGCUCCAUCUCCUUGGCGAGUUCCGCCCUUCGACGUUUGAGGCGGUCUAUCUCACCGACGAUCCCCGGGCGAGAGUCCUCAAGAAAAUGGAUACGCCGGUGCGCCUCUUGAGCUUGACGCUUGAACGCGUCCUCCUCUUCACGAGUCUUAGCCAGCUUGGCGCGAUCGGCCAUGUGACGAAGGGCUCUGAAGACCGGGAUCCUCAUAGACUCAAUGAAUGCCGCCGGCGCCAAGGCUUCCUCCGCCUCUUCUGGUACUCGCCCGCUGACAUCGCCGAAGAGCUGCCGAAUCGGUGAAGCAUCCUCGACUAAUCGGCCGAUGUCCCCUUGAAGGAGGGAUCGGACACUAGCAAGUUUGGCUCGGACGUCGUCAGGAAUGGAGCUCAAGGCGACUUGGCGAGAAGCGACUUCUUCAUCGUCGGAGAGGGCAACCGCAAAGAAAAAGAGGCUGUUGUCGGGGGUGUCUUGUUCCUGAAGAUAAUAAAAAGGAAAAAUGAAUCGGCUGGGAGUAAGAGCAAAUCGGCUGAGCAAAGCCGGAAUGUAACUUACCACUUUGAAACGAAUUUCUUCAUGUUGCAUUUGGGAAGCCGUCACACCUUGCUCAGGGGCUUGCGCCAUGGGUUCGUCAGAAGAGGAAGACUCCACAACGAUCGGUGCGGUGCUUGGACCAGCUCCCUGAGAAAAGACCGGUGGUUGAGGAGCGCUUGGUGUGCCGAUGACCUGUGUCAGAGAAUUGAAUAAGUAUAUUAUGCAAAUAUCAGGGAAAAUCGGCGAAAUAGUGCUAUACCUCAACGGACGGAAGCGGUGGCGCGCUAAUGGCCGAUUGGGCUGCUGCCGAUUGUUGAGUGUCCAUGGGAACACUCUGUACAGUCUAAGAUAAGGAGGGUUAAUAUCAGAACAACAAUCGGGAGAAAUGAAGCUUGGGUUUACCUGAAUGGCUUCUAACAACAAUGAUGUGGCGGCUGCCCCAGCUUGUGCGACGGCUUGGGUAUCGACAUCUUGGAUGACCUGAGAGGGUGGUGCGGCCAGAGUCUCUACCGAUACGAGCACAGGAGGAUCCGCCGAUUCUAUACGAGCUCGGACUCGGCGACUGGUCUUUUUGGUGAUCCUCUUCUGGACUUGUUUCGAUCGGCCGGCAAUCACGUCUACGGACGGAGCAUCAUAGCCGAUGAGAGGAUAAGUGGUGUAUGGAUGAUGAUGCUCUAUUAUCCGACCACUCCGGCUGUGUGUUGGGGGUGUGCGAUUCUCGGCCUGAAAAAAUAAGUAGAACCAUUAGUAUUCAAUCACGUUAAGAGGAGUAAAAAUCGGCUAAGGAAAAUACCUCGGCGUUCGGGUCGAUGUUGGCUGGAUCCAAGAGGUUGCAGUAUGCCGAUGCCGAAUUGCAGAAGAGAAAUUGCUUCCAAUCGGCCCACCAGAGUUUGAACGGCUGGACAGCAAAGGGAGCUACUAGCCAGUUGUUCAGGUCAAUGGUACUGGAGUCCGGAAUCCGGUCUCGUAACCGACUGUAAUCCAGACCAGAUGUGAGCUCAUCUCUAAACUUGAUUCGGCCAGCAAAAUACACUUGAAUCGGCAGCUGACCCAUACCGAACUGACAUGCUGCAACGGAAGGGUUGUAGAACUCAUACGUAGGGGCAUCCUUCCCCAAGAAGAAGUUGGCUGGCAAGAUUCCUGGCUUGAUUAACUCAUCAUAGAGCUCUUCAUCAAAUCGGCCAGUGGUCGAAUCAAAGCAGGUUGGGAGUUCAAAGACCGGGUCAUCCCGCUGAUAAGGAAACCAAAUGGUUGCAUCUUCAUUAAAGCCGUUAUAGAAGCAUCGAAAGUACUCGGCUACCUUUGUAGCAGAAUACGUGCAACCUGGGAAAGCUGAUGCCGCUUCACCAAAGGACAUGCAUCGGCGACGUUCGGUAGGGUCUUCUGCCGAUUCGAUGUUGGGAACAUCAUGCGGUCCACUCUCUGCUGAGUGAUCUCGCUCAUGUAAAGGUUCAGCCAUAAGUUGAUGAACCACCAGGGUCCGCCUGGAUUUCCGAUCGGCUCUCCCUUGGAUAGUCUGAUGCCGAUUUGAUGGAGCAUGUGGUACGCCGCCCCUAGCAAAUGUUUCCCAAGAGGGACAUGGUUUCCUCUGGACAGUGCUUCAGCUAAAGCCUGGGUAUUGGUUGACGGGCCGGCGGCUCUUCCACAAAAGAAAUGUUUUUCUAACCACAUCAUCAAGAAGGCCGUAUGCUCCCUAUUCUCAACAGACCCGGUUCUUUUAUUGCUUCUGAUGAAUCCCUUCCACCCGCCGAUUCCCCUUAUGUCCAGCCGAUGUGACGUUGCGGCUAAAAGAUGGAAAGGUGUGUCUGGAGAAGAAAUGUCAAGGCCGGUCAGCAGGACCACAUCGGCUAGUGUUGGGGUCAUAGGUCCGUGCCCAAAUAAGAAGGCAUUAAGUGCAUCAGACCAAAAAUAAGAAGCCGCUAUUACCAACGGCUCAUUUUUCUCCAUCUGGGACAAGGACAGGUUGAUGCACUGGCCGAUUUUGAGCUCCUCCCAUGAGACGCUCUUCGACGCGGCUACCCGUUGGUACCAUUCCCUCCAACCUGGGGUUUCAUUCGGCCAGGACCUAAAAGUACCCAACCAUUGAUCUAAGUCCAUGUUGGACAGUUUGAAGGGUAUCCUGUGGGUUUCCAAAUUGAUAAGAUCUAUUGGAUCUGGGUUCCCCAUAGGUCCGAGACAAACAAGGCCGGGAUUUCCCGUAAGAUGGAUGGUAAUGCGAUGCCUAACUGCCUAAAAAAAGGAAAAGGGAGUGUAAAAAAGUAGGAAACAGAUCUAAGGUAAAUGCAUUGCCGAUAGAAGAAGGAUUCGGUAUUUACCUCUGGGAUGAAGUUCUGAGUGAUCGGCGUAGUCGCCGGUGCAGAUGCGGACAAUGGGGCCGCGAUGGGGAUCGCCAUUGGGAUCUCCGAUGGAGCUCCUUCUUCUAUGGAUGGAGCAACGGCCGUCGCCACUACCGCCGGAGGCGCUACUUCUGGAAUGUCGCGCGCUGGAGAGCUGCCGGAAGGAGCCGCCAUUGGAAGAGAAGGGGAAACGUAACAGGAGGAUGGCGCUAGAAGGCUUCGACGGCAAGGGAAAGAUGCUGAAGAGAGAAGAGGGCGCGCACGCUUGGAAAGAAAGACGUGAGCUUGAAGAUGAAGUGCGGGGUGAAACGCUAUUUAAAGGAUGCCUGAAGGAGGGUAAAAACGGAAUUUUCACCGCGCCGGCAUUUCGAGUUUUUCGGGGGUAGUGGCUGUCGUGGGCGCCCGUUUCGAAAAGAUUGCAAUCAUCAGCUGGAAGACCGCGAAACGGAAGGAUAUUUUCACUGCGGCCGUUUCGGAGGGGAGGUUAUAAAGAAUUUCGAAGUAAAAGACUAUGUUUUACUCCGAAACUGGGGGGCAUGUGUUGACGCCAGAUUUCGUCACUAGUAAAAUCGGCGCCAAGAAGAGAGGGAAUCGGAGAAGCACAGUUGGGAAUCGGUCGAAUGGUGCUACAGUGCGAGAUUGGCCGGUGACUUCUGUCUCGCUUCGGAUUGAACGUGCCGGGGUCCCAAUCGGUUGCCUUUUGCCGAUAAGGAUUCGGCCGAUUAGGAGGAUGGUUUAAUUGGGCCUGUAUGGGCUUGGAAAGGAAUAAGAGGAUAAGGGGGAGAUCAGCCCAUGAAGCGUAGAGUAACCAACCUAGCACGAAUCGUGCUUGUAAAAUAUUCGUUUUCUGUUUGAAUUAGGGAUAGAAUUCUAGUCGGUUAAGAAGUCCUCUGUACGGGGCUAUAAAUAGCUACCUUUGAAAAUCUGUAAUCAUCAACAAAUCAAUACAACAUACUACUUUUUCCUCGUACUUACUUCCAAGAAGACGACUUCGUCAUUACUUUUCUCUUUUUCACGAGUUCGUGCGGGUUGGCAGGGCUGCAUCAGUUCGAUCUCCGGCCGAUUCUGUAAGUUCCGCUUAUCGAGUAAUAUCUAAGCUUUAACUUCGGGCGCAUCGCUGUUGUUUCGUUUAGAUUUAUUCACUAGUUAUCGAUAUUUGCUAGAUUCAUAGGUUUUACCUGUCUUUCUAGUUUUAUCACCAGUUAUCCAGCUAGGAAUCGGUAGUUUCGGCUUUCUUCAUGUUCUGCUUUUAAAUUCAUCUAUUGCCGAUUAGAUCUGUUCCUAGUGUUGUUAUCUUAGCUUUGUGUCGAUUACUCUAGUAGUUUUCCGUCUACAAGGCUACAGUAAUCGGCUACCUUAUAGCCGAUUUCUUUAUUACGGCAAAUCGGCUGAUUCGCUGAUAAGCUAUCUCGAGAUCGGAAACUUAGCCGAUCGCGAUUUCUGGACCUGACACGUAUUCUUCCUUGCCAAUCAACAGGUCAGAUUGGCUGGCACGCCGCGCGAACCGCACCAGGGCAAUCACCCGAACAGGAGUUAAGCAGAUUCUCCCGGGUCGUGUGUCGGACGCUGGGAUUCGGUUGAUCGAUUUCUAGCGCCAACAGCAACAUAUAGUUAUCUGUCUCAUAUGCAACAUAUAGUAUCGACGCGCAGCUUCGCGCACCCCGCCUGACCAACAGUGCAAGCUUAAGCUACAUCCUCAAGCACCACGUCGACACGGCGAAGAUGACGUCGGUGAAGCUCCCGGCGAGCCUCCACCGGCAUGCAGCCUCCGCCGCGCAUACACUCAGAGCAGCAGGUCCUCCUGGCAACGGCAUCGGCGGAAGACGAGCUGUGCUUGCUCGUUGCCGAGAGGGAGAAAAGAUAUUGGUUGCGCGGAGCAGUCGUCGUCUAGGUGGAAGACGCAGCCGCGGGCGGUGAUAGAGAACGAGAUGAUCGUGUCCUUCACCAAGGUGAACGGGCUGAUGGAGAAGAAGACGGGAGCAGCUCAAUUGAAGUGGAUUGCGUCAUUCAUGAAGUGAGUUUGUGUAAAACCGUGUGACUGCUCCCAUAUCUCUAUUAAUUAUUUUGCUUUUUUCAUGCACUACUUUCACCCGGCUGCGGCUUGUGCUGUGUUGAACGCUGGCUGCAGCAACAGCAGCGCUGCAGCUGUGCAGCCAGCACUAUGGGUCAAAGUUGAAGGAUGGCGACUCGACACUUGGACAGCCGGCCGGCGGGCGGCGGCAGCUAACAAUCUCGAUUGGUAACUAGGAAAAAAAAUCUAGUACAAGUCCUUAGGCGGCAAGAGCUGCCAGGCGAGUCCAGACCUUGUUUGCAGAAAACAAGUUCUGCUAAAAACGCCGAGGAGCGGUUUUCUGGUUUUGUGGAGGUCAGGUUUUUCUCGUUUGCGAGUUAUGUUGGGAGAUCCAAACACGAUUUUAGGGGUGGUUACCAUAAAAUAGGUUUCGCGGAAACUAGUUUUCAUAAAACUACAGAUCCAUCCAAACAACAACUCCUCUUGCGUGGGCUAGGGCGGUUUGUCUUUGUCACGGGCGGCGGCGGCGACGUCCGAUGGGAACGGAAAAGGGAUCGCCGUCGCUUUCGUGCGACCUCCUUCGCGAGGUGCUCGCGCGCUGAGACCACGAGACCCUCGUCCGCUGCGCCGCCAGCAGCAAGCUGCUCUGCCGCUGCAUGCUGGAGCUGGACGACCCGGCCUUCCUCUGCCGCCGCGCCGCCGGCUUCGCCCCGUCCCUCCUCCUCGGCGUCUUCGACUCCCCGCGCGCCACGGGGACGCGCUUCGUGGAAUCCCCUGCGCCAACCGUCAUCCCCCGCGAGCCGAUCCGCUCCUUCCUGUCGGACAACGCCGACCUACUCAGAUGCUUCGAGGAGCCCGUCGCCUGCCACGGCGGCCUCCUUGUCCUCCGGCGGUACCGGUGUUCUACCGAACGCGGCGCCGUCGAUCUGUGCGCCUGCAACCCCAUGACCGGCCACCGCUGCUUCCUCCCGUCGCCUGAGGUCUACGCCUCAGCAGCCGCCAUCCUCAUCGGCGAGAACGCCGCGGGGAAUGGCAGCCCCUUCCAGCUGCUCGCCGUUGACCAGGUCUAUGAGAAUUGGGGACAUACCAUGGUUUACCAUGUAAGAAGCCAGCUCUUCUCGUCACCAGGACCUUUCCCGGCGACCUCGCCGGGCGGCACAUGGGGGCCCGUCAGCAGAAUUGCUCCCGGCGGCCCUGCCAAUAGCUUCAUGCCUGGAGAGUUCUCCGUUGGUCAUCAACCGCGUUGCAUACUGGAUGAACACAAGCUCCCUGGCGUGUCCUGGUUACAAUGCCUUCGCGCUUGAUGUCGAUGGGGGAUGCGCAGAGCUGAUUAAGGGGCCAAGAGAGCUCGAAGGUCCACGUGAUGGACCAAAUGAUGUCUUGCUGGCGUUGACACCAGACCGGAGGCUGAGCUUUGUCGUCCUUGAGGAGCUAGUGAUAUCCAUGUUUGUGUUGUUGUCAGAGAGGUCCCUGAGCUGGGAACGGCGUGCGGUGGUGGUCCGGGAGGGGAUCCUUGCGCCGCCUCGCUGGAUGCGCCUAGAUUGCUUCGGCGAGAGGAGUGGCACUGUGGUCAUUUGUAUGGGCUGCCAGCCCGGGCGGCUUCUGCUCAACCUUGAGACGAAGGAGGUGAUGCACAUGUCGCCGGAGCCAAAGGAGGAGAGCCUGGAGGGGCGGUGUCACCUCUAUGAGAUGGACCUUCCUCUCCUCACUGUAGCCCUCCUGAAAUCCCCAAAUUCAUGUGCUGCUUCAAGUAAAUUGUCGAUAAAGUUUGGCCAGGUGCUGGCAACUAUUGAUGAUACAGCUAGUGCUGAUGUUAUGCCUCGCAAGAUUUUCAUAGGAGCUAAUCUGCUUAAGAAGGGGGAAAAGUGUAUUUUUGUAUUGUAAAAGUGUGACAUUCAUGUUUCAUGUGUCAUUUGGUGAAAAUCAACUCCUUAACUAAUUAAAUCGGUGCAUUUAUCAUCCUCACUUUAGUUUAAUAGUGAUUUAGUUGCAUCUAAUGGUGGUUUAUGUCACAUAAUCAUCUGAAUUAGAAUUUAAAUAAUUCAUGCCUAGCGUGUAAUAUGCUAGUCGAAGAUAUAAAAUUAAAAAAAUAAAUAAAUCCUCUAAAUUGCUUAUCCUAUAAAAAAAUUUCAGAAAAUUUAAUGGAAUUGAUUCUCACCGAACUAUUAGCAAUUGAUUCAACAUUAGAUAUUGCUAAACAUUUGAUGUUGCUAAUCAGUAUUAGUAAGAUGAUAUAUUACAUGGCGUAGACCGAUGUUAUAUGACUCUAAACCAUUAUAUUAAACUAAGGUGGGAUGAUAAAUGCACCGAUUUAAUUAGUUAAGAGGUUGAUUUGUACCAAGGACGAAUGUCACACUUUUGUAAUAAUUGAGGGAUGAAAAAUACACUUUUUCUCAAUAGGUGAAGCCAAGAAAUUUAAUUUAUGUCGGCUCCAUGCAACUUGGAAUUAUCAAUUUGGCUUAAGUUCUAGUGAGUCCUAAAUUGGGUUCACCUCGCAUUGUAUUAAGAAUCAGUUUGCUUGAUUUUUUUCAAGUAGUUCUAUGCUCUUUCUUUUCUGUAGCUCUCACGUGAGUUUUCUUGUGCUGAGUACAAAAUUAUCCUGCAUAAUGUUAAUGGUAUACCCUUGUGUUGGUCUGUUGGACCUCAUGGUCUGGCCAUUGACGUAAGGACCGGCACAUGUAAUUUUUAACUUUUGCAAUUUAAUAAAAUUUGUUAGAAAUUAAAUGCAUGUGUCUAAAGAUUUUAAGGUUGUAUUUAAUUUUUCUCUUUUUCAAAAAAAAAUAAUGAAUCAUAGGAGUUCAUUGUUGCAUUCCUACUGGUGCAUUAUUUUUAGUUGCUUAAAUUUAAAUUUGUGUUUGAAUUCAUUUGUUUGACUCUUUUAAACAAAUAGGAAACCCCCCUUCUUUUCCUUCCCUCUCUUUUCUCCCUUUCGGCCUGUCUCUCUUCCGGCCUAGCAGCGCAGUAGCCCAGUGCUAGCCCGCCUCCACCUCGGCCCACCUUUGCGCCGCACCCGCCGCCUCCCGAUGAUAGGCAGGGCCCGCCUGUCAUCUUCCUCCUCCGGCCUCCCGCACGCCCGACCCGACCGGGACUCAGGUUCAAGUCCGAGCCGGCCGCGCCAUCCCGCGCCUUGGGCCCACAUGCCUAGGUCCACUUUCCCUGGCUAUAAAAGUAGCUGCCGCCGUACCCCGAGACCUCAUCAAACUUAGCGCCCUGCCUCGAGCUCUCCAGCACCGCGACCCUAGCCCGAG